AUGAGAAAAAUUCAGCAAUUGAGGCAUCCUCUUUGUUUGUUAACUCUGUUAAUUUGCUUCCAACUGUGUCCCAAAAGGGAAUGGUUUGUAUUUCCCAGGGGGAUACCCUUAGAAAGCAGAGGAAAAGCCAUGGAACAAACUGUUUUAACAACUGCUUUAAAAACUUUCUAUUCCCACCCUCCAGGGUACCCACAAUUAGGAAAUAAAUCCCCCUCUGCUCUGCUGGCAGGUUCGCACACAUUGGCACAACAAAACCCUCCCUCCACUGAAGCAAAAAGAAACAACAAAUUGAAGAUAGGAGUCCAUGGCCAGUUUCAGGGACAGAGAGCGCUCCGCAGUCAACUAUCAUGGCCUGGGCUGCAGCAAAAAUCCUCCUUCAGGGAAGUGUUCCUCGGGUGUGAGAGGUUAUUAGUUCCUCCCCCAAAAAGAGCUGCCAAAUCCUCCUUCAGGGAAGUGUUCCUCGGGUGCAAGAGGUUAUUAGUUCCUCCCCCGAAAAGAGCUGCUGGACAAAGCUGGUCGGCUGCACUCAGAGGAAGCGGAUGGCCAAAAUAUUUUGGAUUAUAAUCCACACUUCAGGCAUGGGGUCCGCUCACUGGGGCCCCAACUUUGGGCACCAACUGACGCAUCAGCCGGAGCUGCGCUCACUUUGCCACUACAGCCCCACGCCGAGAGUGGGUCAAACUCUGGGAACAGAUGACAUGAGGUGUGGCUAGAGCAAUUACACUACGGCCUUUUUUAGCAGUCAGUCUGCACUCUGAGGAGGUAAGGAGGGGGAGGUCUUUUGCAUAGAAUAAAAGAGGGGAAUUUCUCACAGGUACCUUACACUGACCCUUUAUGUCUGUGUGCAGAUCCUUUGGCAUGGGAGAAAUGCUGCUCUCUUGGAUCUUUGAGUACCUGAAUGUCUUGGUUUGCAAUACAGAAUUUGACCAAAAGUUUGUAUCCUAUCGCCAUCUGUUAAAACCAGGUGGGGCACUGAUCCUUGUCUCUGGAUGAGAUAUCCUUUGGAUGAGAUAUCCUCUGUUAAUGGGCCAUCUGUUAAAACCAGAUGGGGCAGUGUUGUUUGUCUUUUCCACAACCCAUCCUUCUUCCAGGAAGAUAACAUCUGCUGCUGGGCCAUUGAGUCCCAGGGCAUGACUGAUAAAAUUACAUCGUCCCACUGGGAGAUGCUCCAGCCAGGGGAGGAGCCAAGCCUUUCCUACCCAGAUAAAAACUGAGAUUUGGAACACCAAAGAAGCCUUUUUUCCACUGGAUUCCAGAGGAAAACUGGGCCUUUCCACAUCAUCCCUGGACCUUCAGAGAAAAACUGCACCUUCUACAGGAGCACUGCUUCAGCUGAACAGAUGUUUCCCAUUUGAUCCAUCUGCUCCUCACUAUUCAUUGCACAAGUACUUCUUGUUUAGUUUCUUUGGAUAUUGGAGAUUAUUUGAUAUUAUUCUUCGAAUAUGGAGAACUAUUGUUAUAUUGUUAUACAUUUGUAUACCUUUGUUUCUCAGUAUAGACUAGACUUACACCUUCUGCAGACCUCUUCCAAUGAAUCUGUAUUAUCCACUUCCCUGGUGAUAUUAAAUGUUUCUUAAAAAAAAAAAAAGGUGCAUUUUCUUCUAUUCUCUGCCACUUUUUCUUAUUUUUGCAUUCCUGAUUUAGAUCUGACACCACUCCAAUUACCAGCGUAAUUUUAGUGAAGUUUGUGUUUUGAGAACCAGUACGAUCAUCCUGGGAAUGUACAGAGAGAACUAAACUUUCUGUGUGAGUGACAGCAGCCCCUUUUUUGCCAAGGCCUUUGGAGGUUGGGAAGGUGCUGAGUUGCUCAGUUCAAUGGGCAUGAAAGGCACUACAUGUGCCAGAGCAGCCAAGAAAUGACAUGUCCAGCACAGGGAGACUGAGGUGCAGCCUUACAGAGUGGUUCUGUUGGUGGAGGAGUUGGUUUUGAAAAGUUCUUUGAUCUGGACAGGCCAAGAGGAACUCUCAUAUUCCCAUGUCAGGGUUUGACUUGGGUUUGCAAAUUUUAAUAUAUUUAACUUCUCUUAGAGAUAGGAUUUUGGAGCAAAAUCAAGGCAGACUUAAAACUUAAAGGGGUAUAAGAAGAAACUUAUUAAUAACACAAACAAAAAUUCAGAAUAAGAUUUUCAGAUUAUUCCCUCCUCCCUCAUCUUCCACAUUUCUUGACAGCAACAUACAGAGAACACUUCAGUCAGUUAUCUACUUAAAUAAUCAUUUCAGUUCGCUUUAGAGGGAAAAAUUUCUUUUUUUUUGGUUAGGCUUAGGGGGUGUCUCACUUUCACAAUCUGCAUCUGCCCGGAGGAAAAAAACCUGCAAAUUAUGACUUGCUCCCAUCCCCACAGUCCCUCCAGAGCUGUGUUAUGGGUUAUGCUGCACACUUGGGGUACUACUUUUAAAGGCAGGCUGCUGAGAGACAAAAUUCUCUUCAUCUGUUUUUUAAUUAAAUGUCUCUGUCUAUAUUUCCAGUCCCAAAACAGAGAGCCCCGUUCUCUUGAGGCAAAAGAUCCUUUUCUCAAGCACUUUAACCUGCCCAAGUAUUUUUCACAGUUUAAAGGAAUUUCAGUGUAGUCACAGUCCCCUCAUAGCCCACAAAAAAAGGGUUUUCAGCUACUUAGCAGUGGUAUCUCUUCAAUCUCUUCCCAUCUGGAAACUCAAUCUUCAUUUGCUCUUUGCUUUAUUCCUCUCAUGCAGGGGAGCUCAGGAAAUCUAGAAUAUCUUUACGCCGCGUGGUCAGCUGGGGGCCUCUCCUCUAAGAACGGGGGGAAGAGAGAGGGUUUCGAUGGCUCCCCCAUCUCCUGCUCGGCCGUGCUGGAGAAGAAAGAUGGGCCGAGCCAGAGCCGGGGGGCCGAGCCGGGGCCCGGCUGAGCCAAGCCGGGGGCUGGGGGCCGAGCUCGAUCUGUGGGGCUGACCUGGGGCCAGGGACCGAGCCGGGGCCUUGCUGAGCCAAGCCGGGGGCCGGGGCCCCCCCCCCCCCCCCCCCCCCCCCCCCCCCCCCAGGGGCUGAGGGCCGAGGUCGAUCUGUGGGGCUGAGCAGGGGCUGGGGACCGAGCCGGGGCCUUGCUGAGCCAAGCCGGGGGCCGGGGGCCGAGGGCCGAGCUCGAUCUGUGGGGCUGAGCCCGAUCUGUGGGGCUGAGCCGGGGCCGGGGACCGAGCUGGGGCCCCGCUGAGCCAAGCCAGGGGCUGAGGGCCAAGGUCGAUCUGUGGGGCUGAGCAGGGGCUGGGGACCGAGCCGGGGCCUUGCUGAGCCAAGCCGGGGGCCGGGGCC
rnacentral:lncRNA from 1 species